ACGUGUGAUUACUUCGGUGACGAGGGAUGACGGUCUCGUUUAGGCUGAGCUUGAAUCCAUGAAAGCGUUCCUUGGGAUCAAAGCCGGUCAUCCUGGAAAUUGAUACUUGUCAACUGAUGCGA
rnacentral:sRNA from 1 species